rnacentral:lncRNA from 1 species
GGAGGAGAGUCUUGGCUCCAUCUUGUGAACUUCCUGCCAUAAAUCAGAGGGGUUGGAUCUCCUCACCGGAGUGCUUCCUUUACAGCAGGCUCCCAUCAUCUUUUCCUUCCAGGUGCUCUCCUUGCUUUGCUCAGAAGGUGACUCUUGGUUCUUGGCUGUACCCUCUUUGAGGCUUUUAGACCGCAGUUAUCUUUCUGUACCCGUAUGUCUCACCGCCCGUGAGCUGUAUCUUAUUAGCACAGAACUUAUUCUUUUCUAGUAUAUCACUAAACAUGCCAGAACUCUGAUGGAUAAAUCCCAGGCUUGGAAUACUACCACGAAGAAUUAUGUUUUUUCUUCUCCUGCAAGAUAACACAAAUUAACCUUUUCUAGGUAUUUGUAAAUAUCUAGAGCUUUUACUUUAAUAUUAUGUGUUGGUGGGUUUUUUUAAAGAGAAAUCUGGGAUAAGGUCUCGAUUGAGGUUGGUAAGAAAAGAGUCACAAGAUAUAAAUUAAACAUUUUGUAACUACAUAUGGUGAGGGAUGUGAACUAGACUUAUUGUGGCAAUCAUUUUGCAAUAUAAACAAAUACAGAAUCAUUCUUUUGUACACCUGAAACUAGUAUAAUGUUAUAUGUCAAUUAUACUUCCAUAAAAACAAGCAAAAUAAGCUAGAAGGAAAAAACAAAACAAAACAUAAAUUAUACACACAUACAUCUGUGAGUAAAUGUCAAACUAAGAGAAUUGCUGAUUACAUCUUAAAUUGUUCUUUAAAAAAUUAAAAAAUCAUAUAAUGUAAAUUUUUGCCCAGGAAUCAUCAGGAACCACAUUACUCACUUCUUUGCAUUAUUUUAAAUCAAAAGUGAAUUGACACUAAUUUUCUACUGAGCUUUAUAGCAAGUUAAUGUUCUUUUAUAUCACUGGAGUGAUUUCCCAUUUGUGCCAACAUCAAUCAGCUCUUGAGAAUGUUUGUAGAACAUUUUGCUUAAUGGAACACAAGAUAUAGUAUCCAAAUACUUUGAAGACUUUCUCCCCCUUUUUGGGGGCUUGAUCACCUAGGUUGACCUAAUGAUUAUGGGG